CAGCGACUUAUAUUCUGUAGCAAGGUUAACCGAAUAGGGGAGCCGAAGGGAAACCGAGUCUUAACUGGGCGUUAAGUUGCAGGGUAUAGACCCGAAACCCGGUGAUCUAGCCAUGGGCAGGUUGAAGGUUGGGUAACACUAACUGGAGGACCGAACCGACUAAUGUUGAAAAAUUAGCGGAUGACUUGUGGCUGGGGGUGAAAGGCCAAUCAAACCGGGAGAUAGCUGGUUCUCCCCGAAAGCUAUUUAGGUAGCGCCUCGUGAAUUCAUCUCCGGGGGUAGAGCACUGUUUCGGCAAGGGGGUCAUCCCGACUUACCAACCCGAUGCAAACUGCGAAUACCGGAGAAUGUUAUCACGGGAGACACACGGCGGGUGCUAACGUCCGUCGUGAAGAGGGAAACAACCCAGACCGCCAGCUAAGGUCCCAAAGUCAUGGUUAAGUGGGAAACGAUGUGGGAAGGCCCAGACAGCCAGGAUGUUGGCUUAGAAGCAGCCAUCAUUUAAAGAAAGCGUAAUAGCUCACUGGUCGAGUCGGCCUGCGCGGAAGAUGUAACGGGGCUAAACCAUGCACCGAAGCUGCGGCAGCGACGCUGAUGCGUUGUUGGGUAGGGGAGCGUUCUGUAAGCCUGUGAAGGUGUGCUGUGAGGCAUGCUGGAGGUAUCAGAAGUGCGAAUGCUGACAUAAGUAACGAUAAAGCGGGUGAAAAGCCCGCUCGCCGGAAGACCAAGGGUUCCUGUCCAACGUUAAUCGGGGCAGGGUGAGUCGACCCCUAAGGCGAGGCCGAAAGGCGUAGUCGAUGGGAAACAGGUUAAUAUUCCUGUACUUGGUGUUACUGCGAAGGGGGGACGGAGAAGGCUAUGUUGGCCGGGCGACGGUUGUCCCGGUUUAAGCGUGUAGGCUGGUUUUCCAGGCAAAUCCGGAAAAUCAAGGCUGAGGCGUGAUGACGAGGCACUACGGUGCUGAAGCAACAAAUGCCCUGCUUCCAGGAAAAGCCUCUAAGCAUCAGGUAACAUCAAAUCGUACCCCAAACCGACACAGGUGGUCAGGUAGAGAAUACCAAGGCGCUUGAGAGAACUCGGGUGAAGGAACUAGGCAAAAUGGUGCCGUAACUUCGGGAGAAGG
rnacentral:rRNA from 1 species